rnacentral:tRNA from 1 species
GUGGCCGCGGUGUGUUCGGUACGCACGGCAGGUUGUGUCCCUGCAGGAGCGGGUUCGAUUCCCGCCGGCCACC